GGCAGUUUAGCUUAAUGGUAAAGCAAUAAGCCGGUGUCUUUGAGGUAUACGGGUUCGAAUCCCGUGGCUGGUU
rnacentral:tRNA from 1 species